rnacentral:rRNA from 1 species
AGCGGCGGACGGGUGAGUAACGCGUGGGUAACCUGCCCUGUACACACGGAUAACAUACCGAAAGGUAUGCUAAUACGAGAUAAUAUGCUUUUGUCGCACGGUAGAAGUAUCAAAGCUUUUGCGGUACAGGAUGGACCCGCGUCUGAUUAGCUAGUUGGUAAGGUAACGGCUUACCAAGGCGACGAUCAGUAGCCGACCUGAGAGGGUGAUCGGCCACAUUGGAACUGAGACACGGUCCAAACUCCUACGGGAGGCAGCAGUGGGGAAUAUUGCACAAUGGGCGAAAGCCUGAUGCAGCAGCGCCGCGUGAGCGAUGAAGGCCUUCGGGUCGUAAAGCUCUGUCCUCAAGGAAGAUAAUGACGGUACUUGAGGAGGAAGCCCAGGCUAACUACGUGCCAGCAGCCGCGGUAAUACGUAGGGGGCUAGCGUUAUCCGGAAUUACUGGGCGUAAAGGGUGCGUAGGUGGUUUCUUAAGUCAGAGGUGAAAGGCUACGGCUCAACCGUAGUAAGCCUUUGAAACUGGGAAACUUGAGUGCAGGAGAGGAGAGUGGAAUUCCUAGUGUAGCGGUGAAAUGCGUAGAUACUAGGAGGAACACCAGUUGCGAAGGCGGCUCUCUGGACUGUAACUGACACUGAGGCACGAAAGCGUGGGGAGCAAACAGGAUUAGAUACCCUGGUAGUCCACGCCGUAAACGAUGAGUACUAGCUGU